GCGCCCGUAGCUCAGCUGGCAGAGUGGUGGGACGGCAUCCCACGGUCCCGAGUUCAAGUCUCGGCGGUCGCU